rnacentral:rRNA from 1 species
UACGGGGGGGGUAAGCGUUGUUCGGAAUUACUGGGCGUAAAGGGCUCGUAGGCGGCCAACUAAGUCAGACGUGAAAUCCCUCAGCUUAACUGGGGAACUGCGUCUGAUACUGGAUGGCUUGGAUUUGGGAGAGGAAUGCGGAAUUCCAGGUGUAGCGGUGAAAUGACGUAGAUAUCGUAAGGAAGACCAGUGGCGAAGGCGGGUCUCUGGACAGUUCCUGACGCUGAGGACGAAGGCCAGGG